UUACGGCUCAGUAACACGUGGAUAACCUGCCCUUUGGGUCCGGGCAUAACCCCGGGAAACUGGGGAUAAUUCCGGAUAACGCACAUAUGCUGGAAUGCUUUAUGCGUAAAAUGGAUUCGUCUGCCCAAGGAUGGGUCUGCGGCCUAUCAGGUAGUAGUGGGUGUAAUGUACCUACUAGCCAACAACGGGUACGGGUUGUGAGAGCAAGAGCCCGGAGAUGGAUUCUGAGACAUGAAUCCAGGCCCUACGGGGCGCAGCAGGCGCGAAAACUUUACAAUGCGGGAAACCGUGAUAAGGGGACACCGAGUGCCAGCGUCAUACGCUGGCUGUCCAGGUGUGUAAAAUACACCUGUUAGCAAGGGCCGGGCAAGACCGGUGCCAGCCGCCGCGGUAACACCGGCGGCCCGAGUGGUGAUCGUGAUUAUUGGGUCUAAAGGGUCCGUAGCCGGUUUGGUCAGUCCUCCGGGAAAUCUGAUAGCUCAACUAUUAGGCUUUCGGGGGAUACUGCCAGACUUGGAACCGGGAGAGGUAAGAGGUACUACAGGGGUAGGAGUGAAAUCUUGUAAUCCCUGUGGGACCACCUGUGGCGAAGGCGUCUUACCAGAACGGGUCCGACGGUGAGGGACGAAAGCUGGGGGCACGAACCGGAUUAGAUACCCGGGUAGUCCCAGCCGUAAACGAUGCUCGCUAGGUGUCAGGCAUGGCGCGACCGUGUCUGGUGCCGCAGGGAAGCCGUGAAGCGAGCCACCUGGGAAGUACGGCCGCAAGGCUGAAACUUAAAGGAAUUGGCGGGGGAGCAC
rnacentral:rRNA from 1 species